rnacentral:sRNA from 1 species
GCUGGGCAUGGUGGCGCAUGCCUGUUAUCCCAGCAGCUCAGGAGCCUGAGGCAGGAGGAUCAAGAGUUCAAAGCCAGCCUCAGCAGAAAGCUAGAUGCAAAGCAACUCAGUGAGACCCUGUCUCUA